UGGGCAGUAUCAAAUAAGAACUGUACCGUGUUUAUCAAAUUUUAAUAAUAGGUAUCUGCCUAGAUCCUAAACGGACCGGGACAGAGGG
rfam:Bacillus sp. 1NLA3E, complete genome.